GAGGAUGGUAGUUGCUGUAGCCCUUCUCUCACAGGAGGAAGAUACCAGGCCCCACCUUGCCUAUCCACCACGAGUCAGGCUCAGAGGUAGCCUGCACAGUGGCACUGGACCUGUAGGCGUGUAUGCACCUAUCCCCACCAGAACCUACGGUCUCAUUGAGACUUCAUCAGUUAAGGUUGUGAACUGGAUCUGGAUUGGGCUGAGCCUCCAGUCUUGCCCUCCCCCGCCCUGCCCCAGGCCAGGCCCAGUGCAUAGGCAGUGUUUUCAUCCAGAGAUUUCAGUAGACUCUCAGUGUUGAGGAUUCCUCUUGCUGGUGGAUGAGGAGGCCCUCCCAAGGCCUGGAGCCCCCUUCCUGGAGCAGAGGAGUCCAGCACACAGAGGGUUAAACGCUGAUGAUGGCUUUGUCUCUGCAUCAGUGUACAUAAUGUGCUGUGCAUUUGCAUACUGCAGUGUGCGCUCAAUUAAAAUGAACUUUUAAUUUCUUCUAAGUAAAUUACUUCUUGCCGGUACGUGAUGUGCACAAAUGUCAGAAUAAUGGGAGAGCCUUAAUGAGCUGGGGAGUAGAUCUUGUGGGGGCUGCCUGAAACAACCCCUGAAACACACGCGUCUUCAUGCCACACCAGCAUGGGGCACACCCUGUCCCUCGGGCAGGCCACACACUAACCUGUGACUGCUGGUUAUAUCCAUUCCACAGUCACUGUGUAACCCUAGCUGGGCCGUGGGUGCCCUCUCACACUGUCUCUCACUCAGCAGUGAUCUUCUCCUUGUGUGCCUCAGAUACUUGCUCACUUACAGAGAGAGGGUUUCCCUGAGGGACGUAUAGAUUCACCCAGCCUCAGUUUCCCCGUCUGCUCCUCAUCUUGGCUGUACGUGAGAAUCAACGGUGCCAGGAGGAGGUCUACAGACUGCGGCCUCUGUGGAAGAAGGUGGCGCCAGUCGCACAAACCUUGCUGAUAAGGUAUGGCUGCUGAAGGACGCAGAAGAGGAAGAGAUAGGGAACCACUUUCAUCGUGGAUGGAUAGAGUGAGGGAAGGGUUUUAGGGGAAGACACACCAAGCACAACCGGCAGGGACCGUACUGGAGCCCAGGCACUGUGCAGAUGCUGAAGUCUGAAAGCUGAGUCUGGGAGGGCAGAGAGACGGCUGAGCUGACAUUGUUCCAGACAAGGAAGGUGACCCUGGCGGAGGCCCGUGUAGGGCAGAAACCUUCAGAGAUACUGCCUAUGACCAGCCCAGGUUGACAGAUGGGGAACCCAGCCACGAUCCUCCCUGGGAAGUAGGGGAGGAAGCAUCUUCCUCAAUCCCAGUGGCUGAAUCUCACAGGACAAUCCUCUCUCCGGUCCCUUCCUUCCUAUUUUUCAUAUCUAUUUUCCCCCGAAGAGGCUUGACAACUGCCACUCCCCUGGAAUUUGGGAUCUGCAUACUCAGGAGGCCAGAACUGACCGGCACCUGUAUGUGGUACCCACACCUAAGAGACUGAUGCUGAGGAAAUGUAUUGCCAUCCUUCCCUGCCUUCCCACCAGCACCCAGAUGCUGGCCCAAGGAAGAGGGUGACCCCAGAGUCAUCAGUGACAAGGGAAUCUCCAGAGAGAAUCCUCUACCCUUGGACUUGGUUUCCAGGAACCCGGAACAGGACCCUGGACUCGACAGAGUGCAGUAAUCUAUGGCGUAGACAAUCUGCUGUUUCUACAACUGAUAUUUUGUCUUGUGACAUUUCUCAAGCUUGCAUUGGAAGCAGGAUGGCCCUGCAAAGGAUAAUAUCUUCGGUGAGGUCGGAGGAGAGACAGCAAGCACAGUCACUCGGAGUUUUGAUGUGAAGUUGACACAGGCUGAGAAAGAAGAGCCAAGAAGCCACGUCGCCUGGAGUAAACCCAGCUCUUAUCUGCCAGACCCAAGGGGGGAAUCUCAGAUUCCCCAGCUCCUGCCCAGCUCCUGCCCAGCUCCUGCCCAGCUCCUGCCCAGCUCCUGCCCAGCUCCUGCCCAGCUCCUGUGGGGCUAAAGUUCACUUAGAGCUGCAGGCCACAAGCCCAGGCCAUCCCAAGCAGGCCUCAUGACAAUGUAUAUGUUUCUGAGAAAUCCUCUUUUGGGGAGAGCAGGACUUAGCCUGCAUAGACUAGGGAUCCCCUGAUAGGCAAGGAAACAGCAGCCAGUCACUUGUAGGUUAGGUCCCAGGAGCGUCCAGUCCCCAUGCUGGCCCUGCUCAAGUUCCAGGAAGGGACUUUCACCCAGAAAUAGCUAAGGACUAUGACAACCUUCCCAACACACUUGUUUAUGAUUUGACUUAAUUAUUUUUCUAUUUAUCUCUAUUUCUGAAUCUCUCCCUUUGGGUUUCCUGAGCUGGAUGCCCUCUCCUUUUUGGGCAGGAUGCAUGGCCACCAUGGCUGCAGAUGCAUCGUAAGGAACCCUCAGAGGUGGUGGGAUUCUGCAACUGGGGGAGCCUGGAGCCUGGGGGUGCUCCACCAGCUCAGCCACACAUGUGGUUGUUCCACCCACUCAGCCCCCACCUUGUUCCAACCGGAGCCUGACGUCUCCCCAACCACAUCUGACCAUGUCACUCCUCCAAGACCUCACCCAGAUCCCUACCACCACCUGGCCCUCUGACAAAAGGGGAUGGGCUGGCAUUGUCCAUCUAGCCUAGGCUACAUUUCUCAGUCUUCUUCCCCCGGGUUUCCAGCCUGGACCAUGUGGGAAAGUCCCAUGGAGCCGGAAGAAGAUGUUCUUCUAUAGUCCCUGCCUCUGUACUGCUGCAUUCCACUUUGGUGACUUUUUGGCUUCUCGGAGUCAGGCUACCAUCCUUAUGAGGUCACGGGCACAACUAUGAAGUACCUCCCACCUGUGCUUCGGGGCCAGCCCUCCCUCAUAGAUGCCUCUCUCAUGCACUGCGACUCCAUCACUGACCACACAGCAGGAUCUGGAUGCCCAGACCUACUGUGCGCAGUGCCUGCCACACACCCAUGACAGUGUUGCAGUUGGGUAUGAAGUGUCCUCGAGAAGGGCCCUGUGUUGUAGGCUUGCCUUCCAACCCAGCAGCAUUCAGAGAUGGAGCCUCUGGGAGGUGACCUGUCACCAAGGCUGAUGCAGAAUCAGGAAGCAGUGGGAAGCAGGAAGUGGGAAGCAGGAAGUUGGAAGCAGGAAGUGGGACGUGGAUGGAGGAAGUAUGGAACUGGAAGCACGGCUUUCCCCCUGCUGGCUCCUCUCGUCUCCCUCUGCCUCUUGCACCCUGAGAAAUAAGCACCUUUUCUCUGCCUCACAGUCCUGGCAGGAUUCUCUGUCAGACUCCUCGUGCCCACAGACCGCAGACCAGAGC
rnacentral:lncRNA from 1 species